CCACACCGCAGACAGGCUCUAAUUACACCCUUCGGCCGCUCGUUACAUUAGCACAUGUUUCACCUACAUGUCUGCAGUGCUGUGUAAGGAGGAGGUAACUAUUUUAGGGCCAGGGGAACAGAAGUGACUGGCAGAAGAUCCCCUCGCUGCACCAGGUCUCCCAGUUUGGGGUGAAGCCACGUCUUUGGGUACCCAGCGCAGCCGUGAGGCCAAAAUGAUGCUCUUUGGGCCAAUGACCUCUCGCUCCUCUCCUAUAGCGAUGCUAUAGCGUGAUUUCUCUGGAGACAGCAUCUUGCUGGGUAAGAUGUGGUGUGUGACGGUCAAGAGGGCAAGUCCUAAUGGUCAAGAGGGCAAUUCCGCUCUUUGCAAGAGGGGAAUUACGCUGCCGGGGCGAGGCAACAGGCCCCAGAAUAUUGGAUGGAGGGACACAGUGCUGUCCUCACCCACCUGCCCACGCAGCAGUGAUUCAGCAGGCGCCCGGAUAAGGCUGCGCCCAGCUCCUCCUCUGCACCUUACAGGUAUUUGCACACGCAAAUAAAGCUGCUGAAAAAUA